UGGCUUAGAAGCAGCCACUCAUUAAAAGAGUGCGUAAUAGCUCACUGGUCGAGUGGCUCUGCGCCGAAAAUUUAACGGGGCUAAACCAUACACCGAAGCUUGGGAUGUACGAAGUACAUGGUAGGAGAGCGUUGAAUGCGGGAAGAAGUCAUAGCGAAAGCGGUGGUGGACUGCAUUGAAGUGAGAAUGCCGGAAUGAGUAGCGAGAUUUAUGUGAGAAUCAUAAAGGCCGAAUGACUAAGGAUUCAGAAGGAAGGUUCGUCCGCUUCUGGUUAGCCGGGAGCUAAGGUGAGGCCGAGAGGCGUAGCCGAUGCACAUACGGUGGAGAUUCCGUAGCCGCCGAAAGACAGAGGGACACUUUGGAAGCGUUGUUGCCGGGCGAUGGUCGCCCCGGUCGAAAGGGACCGAAGACAAGUAGGGAAGAACAGCGUGGACAGAGGCAAGAAAAGCUCUGUGAAUUAAAAGGCGCCCGUACCGCAAACCGACACAGGUAGUCAGGAAGAGAAUUCUAAGGCCAACGGGAGAAGGGUAGUUAAGGAACUCGGCAAAUUGACCCCGUAACUUCGGAAUAAGGGGUGCUCCUGAGAAGGAGCCGCAGUGAAAAGGUCCAGGCGACUGUUUAUCAAAAACACAGGUCUCUGCUAAAUCGAAAGAUGAAGUAUAGGGGCUGACACCUGCCCGGUGCUGGAAGGUUAAGAGGAGAGGUGCAAGCUUUGAAUCGAAGCCCCAGUAAACGGCGGCCGUAACUAUAACGGUCCUAAGGUAGCGAAAUUCCUUGUCGGGUAAGUUCCGACCCGCACGAAUGGUGUAACGAUCUGGACACUGUCUCAACUGCCCACCCGGCGAAAUUGUAGUACCGGUGAAGAUGCCGGUUACCCGCGGCAAGACGGAAAGACCCCAUGGAGCUUUACUGUAGCCUAAUAUUGGGUUUUGGUAUUUUAUGUACAGGAUAGGCGGGAGACUAUGAAACCGAGACGCUAGUUUCGGCGGAGUCACUCUUGGGAUACCGCUCUUAGAGUACCGGAAUUCUAACCUGCGGCCAUGAAUCUGGUCGGGGGACAUUGUUAGGUGGGCAGUUUGACUGGGGCGGUCGCCUCCAAAAGAGUAACGGAGGCGCUCAAAGGUUAGCUCAGCACGGACGGAAACCGUGCCUCUGAGUGCAAACGCAAAAGCUAGCCUAACUGCGAGGCUGACGGGCCGAGCAGUAACGAAAGUUGGAGUUAGUGAUCCGGCGGUAUGUGAAUGGAAAUGCCGUCGCUCAACGGAUAAAAGCUACCCUGGGGAUAACAGGCUGAUCUCCCCCAAGAGUCCACAUCGACGGGGAGGUUUGGCACCUCGAUGUCGGCUCAUC
rnacentral:rRNA from 1 species